rnacentral:lncRNA from 1 species
AGUCAUGCCACCAAUGUGGUGAGACAGGGCACUUCAAGAAAGAUUGCCCGAUAGCAAAGAACUCUGGCGAAGAUGGGAAGAUUCUUAGGAUCACAGCUAUUGGAGAGCCUGCUCAGGAACCACGUUAAAUGUAAUUUAGGCGUUUCAUUUUAACAGUCUUAUUAGCUAUCCAGAACUGGUGCAACUAGAGUAGUAUAUCUUAUUCGCAGCAAUAGUCUUGUGGUAAAUCUAUAGUACUGUAACUCUGUUCAUGGUUGCACGGUUGUGUUUUGUCUGUAAACGUCUUAUGUUCAAAUCUAAUGUCUUUAAGUUUCAGUAUGAUUUCGACAUUAUCAUACGAAUUGAUUCAGUUUGAUCCUCACGAAAACAGCUUCACACGUACAUCUCGUUCUUCUAGAUCAUUUUCCCAGCGAAUCUGUCAUAUCAGAACGCCGAAGUACUCAUGCCAGGAGUACCUCUUAGUUAUUUUUAUUUCCGAACAAAUUCCCAAAGUACUCAUGCCAGGAGUACCUCUUAGUUAUUUUUCUUUCCGAAGAAAUUCCCGAAGUACUCAUGCCAGGAGUACCUCUUAGAUAUUUUCUUUCCGAAGCAAUCCUUGAAGUACUCAUGCCAGGAGUACCUCUUAGUUAUUUUUCUUUCCGAAGAAAUCCUCGAAGUACCACUCGUGCAGUACGUCAAGUUCAAUCCAGGAAUUCAUGCGGAUGAUCUAUCACUGAGGAAUGUAUACAUAAGAGUGUUAUAUAAUCAAGGUUCUACAGGUUUAGAAUUAAUGAUUUCGCCUUAACUCUUUUCCUCAUUGGGAUGUGAGGGUAAGGAAGAAUCAGUUAUUCG